AUGAACGCUGGCGGCGUGCCUCAUACAUGCAAGUCGAGCGAACAGACGAGGAGCUUGCUCCUCUGACGUUAGCGGCGGACGGGUGAGUAACACGUGGAUAACCUACCUAUAAGACUGGGAUAACUUCGGGAAACCGGAGCUAAUACCGGAUAAUAUAUUGAACCGCAUGGUUCAAUAGUGAAAGACGGUUUUGCUGUCACUUAUAGAUGGAUCCGCGCCGCAUUAGCUAGUUGGUAAGGUAACGGCUUACCAAGGCAACGAUGCGUAGCCGACCUGAGAGGGUGAUCGGCCACACUGGAACUGAGACACGGUCCAGACUCCUACGGGAGGCAGCAGUAGGGAAUCUUCCGCAAUGGGCGAAAGCCUGACGGAGCAACGCCGCGUGAGUGAUGAAGGUCUUCGGAUCGUAAAGCUCUGUUAUUAGGGAAGAACAAAUGUGUAAGUAACUAUGCACGUCUUGACGGUACCUAAUCAGAAAGCCCCGGCUAACUACGUG
rnacentral:rRNA from 1 species